rnacentral:rRNA from 1 species
GACGAACGCUGGCGGCGUGCUUAACACAUGCAAGUCGAGCGGUAAGGCCCUUUCGGGGUACACGAGCGGCGAACGGGUGAGUAACACGGGGGUGACCUGCCCUCAGCUCUGGGAUAAGCCUGGGAAACUGGGUCUAAUACUGGAUAUGACUCCACGGUGCAUGUCGUGGGGUGGAAAGCCUUGUGCGGCUGAGGAUGGGCCCGCGGCCUAUCAGCUUGUUGGUGGGGUGAUGGCCUACCAAGGCGACGACGGGUAGCCGGCCUGAGAGGGCGACCGGCCACACUGGGACUGAGACACGGCCCAGACUCCUACGGGAGGCAGCAGUGGGGAAUCUUGCGCAAUGGGCGAAAGCCUGACGCAGCGACGCCGCGUGAGGGAU